GGCUUUCCUUUUGGUGUAUUCCAUGAAACUUUUCUUGUGGAGGUCCGGAAAGCGAGUAGCCUCCGCGGUGGCCUCUGAAUGGCUCUCCUUCAGUCGGUGAAGUUCGUCUUCCAGCUUCUUGAAUUUUCUUGUCAACCAACGAACUUUCCUUUGGAGGUCUCAUAUCAUCGACUUCAAGAGAAUACCCUCCGACAGGGGAAGAGCUUCGGCAGGACACUGUCAUUGGAGGACAAGAGCGCCAUGACUCAAAUUAAUGCAAGAAGAUAAAAAGAAGGAAAAGAAUAUAAAAAAAGGGGGAGGG
rnacentral:lncRNA from 1 species